rnacentral:rRNA from 1 species
CCUACGGGCGGCAGCAGUGAGGAAUAUUGGUCAAUGGACGGAAGUCUGAACCAGCCAUGCCGCGUGCAGGAAGACGGCUCUAUGAGUUGUAAACUGCUUUUGUACAAGGGUAAACCUGAAUACGUGUAUUCAGCUGAAAGUACUGUACGACUAAGGAUCGGCUAACUCCGUGCCAGCAGCCGCGGUAAUACGGAGGAUGCGAGCGUUAUCCGGAUUUAUUGGGUUUAAAGGGUGUGUAGGCGGACUGUUAAGUCAGCGGGAAAAGCCCGGGGCUCAACCCCGGCGAGCCGUUGAAACUGGCUGUCUUGAGAAGUCGAGAGGGAUGCGGAAUGCGCAGGGUAGCGGGGAAAUGCUUAGAUAGUGCGCAGAACUCCGAUUGCGAAGGCAGCAUACCGGCGGCGAUCUGACGCUGAGGCACGAAAGCGGGGGUAUCGAACAGGAUUAGAUACCCGAGUAGUC